rnacentral:rRNA from 1 species
ACCAUCUUCAAAAAUGUAGGAGCCCACAGCAGAAACCACAGCCGCCGUCCCAAAACCACCCGCCUCGAUAAUUUCACCAGAUUCAAUAUCAGCGAUAAAUUUAUCCAGCAU